AAGUCGUAACAAGGUAACCGUAGGUGAACCUGCGGUUGGAUCAUUAACAAAUCCAAUUAAUACAAACACAUUGUGAAAUUUUAAAUAAAGUCAUUUUGGCUUUAUUGUCUACAGACUCUGUUUAUUAUUGUUGUGUAAUUUAAUUAUUUAAAUAUAAUCAAAACAACUUUUGACAACGGAUCUCUUGGCUCUC
rnacentral:misc_RNA from 1 species